GAAAAAGGUAACUGUUUUCCAAAACAAUUUAGUGAGAAGAGUGGCACUGAUUUACAUCUUUGCAAAUCUUUAAUGUCUGACUGAAUAGAAGACAGCAGGAUUCUCAUAUGUGAUUUUUGCAUUCAAUCUGUCGUGAUAUGUCGUGCUGGUUGAAGUAUAUAACGAAAAUCUAACCUUACACAGAUAUGUAGUUGUAAAAGGAAGAGUAUUUUAACAAACUUUUCAGCUAACUGUGGAUAUUUUUCUUUGGUACUACAUCAGAAUCCAACAAGUGGUUGUUUCUUAAAGAUUGGUUGCAAUGUGGAAUUUGAAAGCUAGAUCAAUGAACUUAAAAAAAAAAAAAAAGAACAAUUAGUCUCUCACUUAUCUAGUACCUAGAAUAGUCAAAUCCAUAGAGACAGAAAGUAGAAAGUAGGAUAGCAGUUACCAGGGGCUGGAGGGAGGGUGAAGUGGGGAGUUAUUGUUUAAUGGGUACAGAGUUUCAAUUGGGGAUGAUGAAAAAAUUCUGGAGGUGGAUAAUGGUGAUGGUUAUGAGUAUGAAUGUACUUCAUGUUACUGAACUGUACACUUAAAAAUCAUUAAAAUGGGCUGGGCGUGGUGGCUCACACCUGUAAUCCCAGCACUUUGGGAGGCCAAGGCAGGUGGAUCACGGGGUCAAGAGAUCGAGACUAUCCUGGCCAACAUGGUGAAACCCCAUCUCUACUAAAAAAUACAAAAAUUAGCUGGGCGUGGUGGCACACACCUGUAGUCCCAGCUACCUGGGACGCUGAGGCAGGAGAAUUGCUUGAACCCAGGAGGUGGAGGCUGCAGUGAGCCAAGGUCAUGCCACUGCACUCCAGCCUGGUGACAGAGUGAGACUCUGUCUCAAAAAAAAAAAAAAAUCAUUAAAAUGGUAAAUUUUAUGUUACGUAUAUUUUCCUACAAAAAAAAAUCCACUACUGUAUUUUGUACUUUGAAUGAAUGGAUCCUUUGCCUGUGCAUGAUUUCAUAACAGGUCUUUCAAAUGUUGAUACAUUUCAUUAUACAAUAUCAGGAAGCCUUAUUUAUUUACAUCACUUCAGAUCUCAUCAAGAAAGUCUUUUUUUUUUUUUUUUGAGAUGGAGUCUCGCUCUGUCACCCAGGCUGAAGUGCAGUGGUGUGAUCUCGGCUCACUGCAACCUCCACCUCCCAGGUUCAAAUAAUUCUCCUGCCUCAGCCUCCUGAGUAACUGGGACUACAUACAGGCGCGUGCCACCACGCCCGGCAAAUUUUUUGUAUUUUUAGUAGAGACGGGGUUCCACCAUGUUAGCCAGGAUGGUCUUGAUCUCCUGACCUCAUGAUCCACUUGCCUCUGCUUCCCAAAGUGCUUGGAUUACAGGCAUGAGCCACCUUGCCUGGCCUGUUUUUAUUUGUUUGUUUGUUUUUGAGAUGGAGUCUCACUCUGUCACCCAGGCUGGAGUACAGUGGCGUGUUCUCGGCUCACUGCAACCUCCACCUCCCAGGUUCAAACGAUUCUCCUGCCUCAGCCUCCCAAGGAGCUGGGAUUACAGACGUGAGCUACCAUACCUGGCUAAAUUUUUAUUUUUAGUAGAGACAGCGUUUCACCAUGUUGGCUAGGCUGGUCUCAAACUCCCGACCUCAGGUGAUCCGCCCGCCUUGGUCUCCCAAAGUGCUGGGAUUAUAGGCUUGAGCCACCAUGCCCUGACUAAGUUUUCUAAAAUUCUAACUUUCACCUGAAUACUUGAAUUUUUUCACUGCCUACAAGUACUGUCAGAUGUUUUCCUUGAGGUGACGAGGCUCACUUCGUUUAUUGUUGUAAAAAUGUCUGCCAAAUAUUUAAGUUUGAAAAACCAUAAUUUAUCUUUCAGUUGUUAAUUCAAAUAAAACAAGAUGUUCUAUGAAAAAAGUAGCUAGAUCAGCUUGCAACUUGAACAAUGGCAUAAGCAUUUUCCCUACCUUGGCGUGCAGAAGUGCUUUAUGUGUACUUCCCAUUUUGUCAUAGCAAAUAUUUAAAAAUAGGGUCCUCAAGGGUCAAGAUUCAAUAAAAUCAGUAAGUUUUUGGCCAGGCAUGGUGGCUCAGCCUAGCACUUUGGGAGGCCAAGGUGGGCAGAUUGCCUGAGCUCAAGAGUUCCAAACCAGCCUGGGCAACAUGGUGAAACAUGUUGUAGGUUUCUUGUAUGUUUUUUGUAUUUCUGUAAAAAUACAAAAAAUUAGCUGCAUGUGGUGGUACCCGCCUGUAAUCCCAGAUACUCAGGAGGCUGAGGCACAAUAAUUGCUUGAACCCGGGAAGUGGAGGCUGCAGUGAGCCAAGAUCGUGACACUGAACUCCAGCCUGGGCAACAGAGUGAGAUUCUGUCUCCAAAGAAACCCCAAAACAAACAAAGUUUUACCAUUUUAUCAAUGACAUAGUUAAGUAAAACUGAAUUUUUUAAAUUAAUUAAUUAAUUAAUUUAUUUAUUUACUUACUGUGAGUGCAUGGCAGUGAAGAACACACUGGCUAUUAGUACAGUUUAGUGUCACUGUCUUAAUGUAUGCUAAGGCACCAGCAGUUCUACUCACCAGCGCUUUUGUGCCUUCAGUGCAAAUGUUAACACAACGAAAAAGGCAGAUAAUGUCUUAGAAUUAUUAUAGAAGGGCCAGGCGCAGUGGCUCACGCCUGUAAUCCCAGCACUUUAGGAGGCCGAGGUGGGAGGAUCACUUGAGGCCAGGAAUUCAAGACCAGCGCAGCCAACACGGUGAAACCCCAUCUGUACUAAAAAUACAAAAAAUUAGCUAGGUGCGGUGGCACAUCCCUGUAGUCCCAGCUACUCGGAAGGCUGAGGCAGGACAAUCGCUUGAACCCGGGAGGCGGAGGUUGCAGUGAGCUGAGAUCACGCCACUGCACUCCAGCCUGGGCGACAGAGCAAGACUCCGUCUCAAACAAAACAAAACAAAACAAAACAAAACAAAACAAAACAAAAGAAUUAUUAUAGAAAUAGUUUUGACCAUGAAGAUCCCUUGAAAGAGUCUUGUCCCCACAAUACUGAGUUUUCUAUUGUUAAUACUAAAAUGGAUAUUAACUCUCUAGCAUAAUCUUAACACUAUAGUAUGGAAAUUUUCAAAGACACAAUAUAGAGAAUAGUAUUACAGGUCACCAUUUAUCCAUUACCCAGCUUCAACAACCAUUAACAUCUGCUAUUCUUAUUUCAUUUAAGCCCUGACAUGUUUUUCUUACAUAUUUUUAAAUAAAUCCCAGACGUCAUAUCAUUUCAUCCAUAAAUACUUCAGUAUGAAUCUCUAACUCAUACGGACAUUUAAAAAACCCCAAAGACUCUAUCUUUAUUAUAACUAACAAAACUAACAGCAACUCCUUAAUAUUAUCUAAUGCUAAGCCAUGGUCAGUUUUCCCCAGUUGCCUCAAUAAUAUCUUUUUAUGGUUGAUUUAUUUGAAUCAGCUUCAGAAUGAAGUCUAUGCGUUGUAAUCAGCUGAUAUGUCUAUUUAAUCUACAAUAGUUUCCUUCCCUCCCCAACUUUUUUUUUUUAUUUUAAAAAGGUCAUUUAUUAACUGAGGAAAUUGGGCCAUUUGUCCUAAAAAAAAAUUUUCACAUUCUAGAUUUGGUGAACAAUAUGCUUGAUGUGCCAUCUAACAUGUUCCUCCAUCUCUAGUAUUUCCUGUAAACUGAUAGUUAGUCCAAAGAUCUGAUUAGAUUCAAGUUCAAUUUACUUGGCAAGAAUACUUCCCAGGUGGUGCUGUGUACUUCUUCUUGCAUCACAUCAGCAGGAACAUAAUGUCUAGUUGUCCUACUUUUAGUGAUGUUAAAACUGAUCACUAGUGAGGACAGACUGAUCCAUCAUAAAUUCCACAGUAAGCUUUUCAUCUAAUAGUUUGAAAAAUCAUUGAUGAUCACCACUUUGGGAUUUUACACUGUCUCUUUAACCUUCAAAAAUUAGUUAUAUGUAGAAAGAAACAGCUCAAUGAAUUUAGGAUCCCAAAGAAUUAACCUUAACACAAGGAAAACAGACCAUCUCCCCUCUCCUUUGGAAUUCAAUUUCAAAUACAUGUAUUAAAUAGAAUCAUCCCUCAGUAUCCACAGGAGAUUUGUUCUGGGCCCCAUGUGAAUACCAAAAAUCCAUGGAUGCUCAAGCCCUUGACAUAAAAUUAUAUGCACAUCCUCCUAUAUACUUUAAAUAGUCUCUAGAGUGUUUAUAAUGCCUUAGACAAUGUAAAGGCUAUGUAAAUAGUUGCUAUACUAUAUUUUUUAUUUGAAAUUUUUAUUGUUAGAUUUCAAAAGGUUUUUAUUUGUUUGUUUGUUUUUAGAGAUAGGGACUCACUAUGUUGCUCAGGCUGGUCUCAAGCUCCUGGGCUCAAAUGAUCCUCCCCUUGUGGCCUCCCAAAGUG
rnacentral:lncRNA from 1 species